rnacentral:other from 1 species
AGGGUACUGGAGUGUUCGUGAUGCUUAGAUAUGAUUUGAGCCAACACCUUUCAAUAGGGAAUUCAGGUUCUGGAGGAACAAGCAAGCUCACCUGGAGUGAGAUCCUUCGAACUUCAGACAGGAUACCCACUUUACUGGAAGGUUCAAACUAUUCUAUCACACGGCAUUCCGGUUCCCAC